GACGAACGCUGGCGGCGUGCUUAACACAUGCAAGUCGAGCGGGUCUGCCCUGUUUUUUGCGGGGUGGGUCAGUGGCGAACGGGUGAGUAACACGUGAGUAACCUGCCCCUCACUUCUGGAUAACCGCUUGAAAGGGUGGCUAAUACGGGGUGUUCUGGCUGUGCCGCAUGGUGUGGCUGGGAAAGAUUCACUUUUGUGGUGUUUUGGUGGGGGAUGGGCUCGCGGCCUAUCAGCUUGUUGGUGGGGUGAUGGCCUGCCAAGGCUUUGACGGGUAGCCGGCCUGGGGGGGUGGGCGGUCACACGGGGACUGAGAUACGGCCCAGACUCCGGCGGGAGGCAGCAGUGGGGGGUAUUGCACAAUGGGCGGAAGCCUGAUGCAGCGACGUCGCGUGAGGGAUGGAGGCCUUCGGGUUGUGAACCUCUUUCGCCGGUGAAGAAGGUCCUGCUCUUUGUGGUGGGGUUGACGGUAGCCGGGUUAUGAAGCGCCGGCUAACUACGUG
rnacentral:rRNA from 1 species